rnacentral:tRNA from 1 species
GGAUAUAGCUCAGUUGGUAGAGUGCUUGCCUUGCAUGCACAAGGCCCUGGCUUCAAUCCCUGUUACCA